rnacentral:rRNA from 1 species
UACGUAGGGUGCGAGCGUUAAUCGGAAUUACUGGGCGUAAAGCGUGCGCAGGCGGUUUUGUAAGCCAGAUGGGAAAUCCCCGGGCUUAACCUGGGAAUGGCAUUUGGGACUGCAAGGCUGGAGUUUGGCAGGGGAGACUGGAAUUCCUGGUGUAGCAGUGAAAUGCGUAGAUAUCAGGAGGAAUACCGAUGGCGAAGGCAGGUCUCUGGGCUAUAACUGACGCUCAUGCACGAAAGCGUGGGGAGCAAACAGG